GUCUUCACAUAAAGUCAGUAGAGCUAUAUCAUUUUUAUCAACUGAGAAACUGGCUUUCAAAUUGUAAUGAGAGCUUUGGACUGUAAGAAAGGACAGCCUCUGCCUGGAAGGUUGCACAACAUCUAGCACCACAGGACCUCAAUACUAUUUGGGGUUUCUGGGUGCUACUGUGAUCUUAAAACAAAAUUCUUGUUUUCCAGACAGUUCUAUGUAGUGUGAUACAGCCAAGCUAUCGCUAUGAAAAGGAUUUAACUUCACUGAAAUAUCAAUCUGUCUGUAUAAUGGAAGAACAGUGUAGCUAUUUGCAAUUCCCUCCUAUCACCUCACAGGAUGGAAUAACCACAUGUAUCUGUCUCUCCACCCUACAUCAUAGAGAGGUUUGAUACUCUCACUGAGAGGGAUCAAAGGACAGUCAAGAUGGUUAAGCCUGAAAAGAUACAAGCUCCCCGGUGCUGAUACACAGAGUCGAACAGAAGAUAACUUUUAAAGGAUACAAAGAAUCCUUCAAUCUCUCUGAAGAAGUUUUCAACUUCACAUGUUAUACAUUCUCCAAGUAGCAGAUAUUUUUUAAACUAUAUAUUUUUCUCUCACUUCUCCUUAGUUUGUCUGAUUCCACUGCAGAGAGCACACUCUGCAAGCUUAUUGCACUAUGCCCUCUAGCAGUAGCCUUUUCCUAAAAUCUGUCAGGUUGUGUUUAGAUGUCAAGGUCAUACAGCAGAAGAAACAUGAAAGGGAUGGAAAAUGGCUUGCAUUCCAGUGACUCCUUUUGGAUGCCUUCACGCAGAAAAAAUAAAAUAAAAUGGGGCACUUAACUGUUGUAAACUCUUAAGACAAGAUCCCCUUAUGAAGUCACUGGAAUGCUAUGCAGUAUCCAUAAGUACUCACGCUCUUUUGGCUACUUACAUAAGAGCUUUGGUUUACUGUAGAUAGUAGGUA